rnacentral:rRNA from 1 species
AUUGAACGCUGGCGGCAGGCCUAACACAUGCAAGUCGAGCGAGCGGCGGACGGGUGAGUAAUGUAUGGGGACUGCCCGAUAGAGGGGGAUAACUACUGGAAACGGUAGCUAAUACCGCAUACUAUCGGAUAACCCAUAUGGGAUUAGCUAGUAGGUGAGGUAAUGGCUCACCUAGGCGACGAUCCCUAGCUGGUCUGCGAGGAUGAUCAGGCACACUAGGACUGAGGCACGGCCCAGAGUCCGACGGGGGCAGCAGUGGGGCAUAUUGCACAGUUGGCGCAAGCCUGAUGCUGCCAUGCCGCAUGUAUAAAGAAGGCCCUAGGGUUGUAAAGUACUAUCAGUCAGGAGACGUUACCGACAGAAGAAGCACCGGCUAACGCCGUGCCAGACGCCGCGGUAAUAC